rnacentral:rRNA from 1 species
AUUGAACGCUGGCGGCAUGCUUUACACAUGCAAGUCGAACGGUAACAGGGAGCUUGCUCCGCUGACGAGUGGCGAACGGGGGAGUAAUGCGUCGGAACGUGCCGAGUAGUGGGGGAUAACGCAGCGAAAGUUGUGCUAAUACCGCAUACGUACUGAGGUAGAAAGUGGGGGACCUUCGGGCCUCACGCUAUUCGAGCGGCCGACGUCUGAUUAGCUAGUAGGUGAGGUAAAGGCUCACCUAGGCGACGAUCAGUAGCGGGUCUGAGAGGAUGAUCCGCCACACUGGGACUGAGACACGGCCCAGACUCCUACGGGAGGCAGCAGUGGGGAAUUUUGGACAAUGGGCGAAAGCCUGAUCCAGCCAUGCCGCGUGUCUGAAGAAGGCCUUCGGGUUGUAAAGGACUUUUGUCGGGGAGGAAAUCCCCAGCGCUAAUACCGCUGGGGGAUGACAGUGCCUGAAGAAUAAGCACCGGCUAACUACGUGCCAGCAGCCGCCGCGGUAA